rnacentral:rRNA from 1 species
AAUGAACGUUGGCGGCGUGGAUUAGGCAUGCAAGUCGAGCGCGAUCAGUUUGGUGCUUGCAUUAAACUGUGAAAGCGGCGAAAGGGAGAGUAACGCGUAGUUACCUACCUCAGGGUACAGAAUAGCUACGGGAAACUGUGGGUAAUGCUGAAUAACAUCUCCGGAUCAAAGGUGUGAUUCCGCCCUGAGAGGGGACUGCGUCCUACUAGCUUGUUGGUGGGGUAAUGGCCUACCAAGGCGUUGAUGGGUAGCGGGUGUGAGAGCAUGACCCGUCUCACUGGGACUGAGACACUGCCCAGACACCUACGGGUGGCUGCAGUCGAGAAUCUUCGGCAAUGCGCGAAAGCGUGACCGAGCGACGCCGCGUGCGGGAUGAAGGCCCUCGGGUUGUAAACCGCUGUCGUAGGGGAGGAAGGCUCCAUGAAGAAUGGGGUUUGACCUAUCCUAGGAGGAAGGACGGGCUAAGUUCGUGCCAGCCGCCGCAGUAA